rnacentral:rRNA from 1 species
GAUGAACGCUAGCGGCAGGCUUAAUACAUGCAAGUCGAGGGGCAGCAUGGUGUAGCAAUACACUGAUGGCGACCGGCAAACGGGUGCGGAACACGUACGCAACCUUCCCGAAACUGGUGAAUAGCCCUCCGAAAGGAGGAUUAAUACACCGUAACAUAUAGAAAUGGCAUCAUUUUUUAUAUUAUAGCUCCGGCGGUUUUUGGAUGGGCGUGCGACUGAUUAGGUAGUUGGUGUGGUAACGGCUCACCAAGCCUACGAUCUGUAGCUGGUCUGAGAGGACGACCAGCCACACUGGGACUGAGACACGGCCCAGACUCCUACGGGAGGCAGCAGUGGGGAAUUUUGGACAAUGGGCGCAAGCCUGAUCCAGCAAUGCCGCGUGAGUGAUGAAGGCCUUAGGGUUGUAAAGCUCUUUUACCAGGGAUGAUAAUGACAGUACCUGGAGAAUAAGCUCCGGCUAACUCCGUGCCAGCAG